rnacentral:tRNA from 1 species
CGCGGGGUGGAGCAGACAGGUAGCUCGCAAGGCUCAUAACCUUGAGGUCACAGGUUCAAAUCCUGUCCCCGCAA